rnacentral:rRNA from 1 species
UUCGGAAACGGACGCUAAUACCGCAUACGUCCUACGGGAGAAAGCAGGGGACCUUCGGGCCUUGCGCUAUCAGAUGAGCCUAGGUCGGAUUAGCUAGUUGGUGAGGUAAUGGCUCACCAAGGCUACGAUCCGUAACUGGUCUGAGAGGAUGAUCAGUCACACUGGAACUGAGACACGGUCCAGACUCCUACGGGAGGCAGCAGUGGGGAAUAUUGGACAAUGGGCGAAAGCCUGAUCCAGCCAUGCCGCGUGUGUGAAGAAGGUCUUCGGAUUGUAAAGCACUUUAAGUUGGGAGGAAGGGCAGUUACCUAAUACGUGACUGUCUUGACGUUACCGACAGAAUAAGCACCGGCUAACUCUGUGCCAGCAGCCGCGGUAAUACAGAGGGUGCAAGCGUUAAUCGGAAUUACUGGGCGUAAAGCGCGCGUAGGUGGUUUGUUAAGUUGAAUGUGAAAUCCC